rnacentral:rRNA from 1 species
AACGAACGCUGGCGGCAUGCCUAACACAUGCAAGUCGAACGAGACCUUCGGGUCUAGUGGCGCACGGGUGCGUAACGCGUGGGAACCUGCCCUUAGGUUCGGAAUAACUCCCCGAAAGGGGUGCUAAUCCCGGAUAAUGUCUUCGGACCAAAGAUUUAUCGCCUUUGGAUGGGCCCGCGUUGGAUUAGCUAGUUGGUAGGGUAAAAGCCUACCAAGGCGACGAGCCAUAGCUGGUCUGAGAGGAUGAUCAGCCACACUGGGACUGAGACACGGCCCAGACUCCUACGGGAGGCAGCAGUGGGGAAUAUUGGACAAGGGGCGAAAGCCUGAUACAGCAAUGCCGCGUGAGCGAUGAAGGCCUUAGGGUUGUAAAGCUCUUUUACCCGGGAUGAUAAUGACAGUACCGGGAGAAUAAGCGCCGGCUAACUCCGUG